rnacentral:rRNA from 1 species
UACGUAGGUGGCAAGCGUUGUCCGGAUUUAUGCGUGGGCGUAAAGCGCGCGUGGCGGCUUUGCAAGUCGGGUGUGAAAUCCCCAGGCUUAACCUGGGACUGACAUUCGAGACUGCAUUGCUAGAGUAUGGGAGAGGGAAGUGGAAUUUCCGGUGAGCGGUGAAAUGCGUAGAUAUCGGAAGAAACAUCAGUGGCGAAAGCGACUUCCUGGACCAAUACUGACGCUCAUGUGCGAAAGCGUGGGGAGCAAACAGG